AUUGAACGCUGGCGGCAGGCCUAACACAUGCAAGUCGAGCGGCAGCGGGAAAGUAGCUUGCUACUUUUGCCGGCGAGCGGCGGACGGGUGAGUAAUGCCUGGGAAAUUGCCCAGUCGAGGGGGAUAACAGUUGGAAACGACUGCUAAUACCGCAUACGCCCUACGGGGGAAAGCAGGGGACCUUCGGGCCUUGCGCGAUUGGAUAUGCCCAGGUGGGAUUAGCUAGUUGGUGAGGUAAUGGCUCACCAAGGCGACGAUCCCUAGCUGGUCUGAGAGGAUGAUCAGCCAAACUGGAACUGAGACACGGUCCAGACUCCUACGGGAGGCAGCAGUGGGGAAUAUUGCACAAUGGGGGAAACCCUGAUGCAGCCAUGCCGCGUGUGUGAAGAAGGCCUUCGGGUUGUAAAGCACUUUCAGCGAGGAGGAAAGGUCAGUAGCUAAUACCUGCUGGCUGUGACGUUACUCGCAGAAGAAGCACCGGCUAACUCCGUGCCAGCCGCCGCGGUAAAAC
rnacentral:rRNA from 1 species